GAUGAAGAACGUAGCGAAAUGCGAUAAGUAGUGUGAAUUGCAGAAUUCAGUGAAUCAUCGAAUCUUUGAACGCACAUUGCGCCCCUUGGUAUUCCAUGGGGCAUGCCUGUUCGAGCGUCAUUUGUACCUUCAAGCUCUGCUUGGUGUUGGGUGUUUGUCUCGCCUCUGCGCGUAGACUCGCCUCAAAACAAUUGGCAGCCGGCGUAUUGAUUUCGGAGCGCAGUACAUCUCGCGCUUUGCACUCAUAACGGCGACGUCCAAAAGUACAUUUUUACACUCUUGACCUCGGAUCAGGUAGGGAUACCCGCUGAACUUAAGCAUAUCAAUAAGCGGAGGA
rnacentral:misc_RNA from 1 species